AAACAAUGAGGGGGGGUAAAUAAAUAAAAUAAAUCUUUGUGUUGGCUUUGACCAGGGUAUGAUCGUUAAUCUUCUCUCUGAGUUG
rnacentral:snoRNA from 1 species